AAAAUCAGUGAACGUUAUGAAGUUUGUUACAUGCCGCGAGCGAUCGCCGUGAACGCCAGUUUAGCUUAAAGUGAAAAUUUUGUAUCCAUCGGAUAGCGAACACACACUACUACUUAGAGUAAAUAUAUAUGUAUAAAUGCGGCAAAAAAAGAGAGAUAAGGCGGAAAAGUGAAUUCCUAGCGUUAACUGGAAUGUGUAAAAUGCAAAUUAUAUAUUUUAUCUUUACUCUUAUAUAGUCGCGUAAAAAUUAAACAGAUAUACGUAAUUUAAACAAGAGUGAAAAAGAAAAAAAGAGAAGAAAGAUGCGAGAGUACCGUGAUUGUGUGUAGAGGUAAAGCGAAGAGGCAAGAGGAUUAAGUGGAGGGGAGUGAAGUUAGGAGGAAGAGAAAAAUAACGAUAGCAACAUGUGCGUACGUACGAAGUGAGUCACUAAGCUAGCGCUUAAUCGAUAAGGUUAACGUCUAAAGCCUAAGUCUUAAGAUGAUAAUUAAAUAGAAUUAAGGAAACGGGCAUAUCGGUUGCAGCGGGCGGGGGCGGUGGUCAUGGAAAAAACGAAAGAAACAUCUGGUCGAAAAAGUACUUUCGGUCGCCGUUCUAUGUACCAUGGGCAAUGCGCAAUUAAGUAACUAGCGUGGGGUUUGCGAUCGUGUAUAUAGUCAGUGUCUAUUUGGGGAGCUCGCAGACUCCACCUAUCGGAUAGAGGAUUUAAAACGCUUGAUAAGAAAUAAGCAGCUUUUGGUAUCCUCCAUAUUAAUGUAGUAGUACCGCGUAAUAUUUAUUGUUACCAUAUUGCGUGUAGCAAAAUGGAUUUCCUUUUGUUUUUCAAUAAUCGCCCAAUAAAUAUUUUUUACUACAUAUAUCGUGCGUGAUUCAAUAAAAAUCUAUAUACGCUCUAAACAUUCGUUGUUAUUGUUUUAAUAUGAUAUUAACUUGUGAAAUUCGACUUUGAAUGUAUAUAUCUACGAUAGUACGAGGAAUACUGUUGGAUAUAUUUAUUAUAUAUUUUGAAGCUCAUUUUUCCACUGGCUUACAAUGUUCUCAAGUAGUUCGGUACGAAAAACUAUAUUAUAAUUGGUAAAUAAUUAUAAACCACGUCCUCGCACGCCCAUGCGCCGAAGAGUUCCUGACUACCUGUCAGUCUCCAGACAGGUGUCGUUAGUUUCGUAUACCUUUCUAGGUACUGUAUAUCUAUCAAAAUAUGUAAAGAGAAAGAGGAAGGGUAGUCCAUCGCCUCUCUACUUCAGUCAAAGCGAAAUCCAUUAUUCCGAGUGCUGUAACUUAAAAACGUUCAUCAUGCUGUACAAUUCAAUUAACCGUCUUUUAUACGAUACAAACGAAAACAUAAAAAAAAAGGACUGACAGCCAAAACGAAAACACAAUUAAAAAUGGAUUUACAACUUCAUAUCGGUAAAAUAGAGGAAAAUUUGCUACGCUCGAUAAGGACAUACGCGCCGUGAUAUCCCUAAACUUCUGUUCAAUUACGUCGCUUUAAUCGGUGUUUUUCUAUUGGUUUUAUUUUUGAAAAAGAUCGUUGUAUAGAAGUUGAGUACUUAUGCUUUCGCCCAGCGUCGUAUCGUCUGAAUAAAAAUGUCUGAAUUAAAUGUCGCGUUUAAAAAAUCUGGCUCGACGACUCGCUCACUAUACAUUCAACGCAUUUGUAAAUAUACAGGUAAUUGUAAAGUAACGGGUAUUGCUUUUUUCGGCUGCAAUUUGAAAAGUCGUCGUCAUUGUUUCAGAAAAAAACUUUUUCCAAUUCAACGAAAAGUUUCCUAGAACGCGCGGUCUCAUUCGUAAUAAUUCCGCUGUGUGAAGACUGAUAGACCCGGUAACACGCGACGAAAACGGUGUUUUACACGAUAACAGUUUAAAACGUAUCCGAUUAAAAUAGUAUUGCGAGGUUCGUGUGCUACGAAUAGAAUUUCGUACAUGUCGAGGUCGUCGUUUAGAGAAUUGAUUCAAGGUUUUUACUUCUAAAAAAAAUUCUAUCGGGGAAGAAAAAAAGAACAACAGUACUUAUCGAGGGUGGUCCGAUUUUUGUUGAAACGCGGCGAUGUAAGUCCUGUGUCACGGGCCACGCUGUUACAAGAGAAGCAUUGUAAAUAAUUCCACGCGAACGAAAUGGGCGCAUCGACGAGGUUUUUUUUAUCGGCGGGGCAAUGUGAAAGGCGACGUCUGACGUCGUGGCAUUGAAUCGCGAGCCGCGACCACUGUAUACGAUACCGCGUAGGUAAAGUAGGUACCUGUUUAAUAGACUAAAAGGAUUACAAAGUAAUGGUAGCAGAGAACUAAUUAAUUACUAUUUAUUGAUACGGUACUGUAACGAUAUACGAGCAACGCCAUGGCAUACGGACGAUUCGACCACCUCCGAUGGUCUGGUUGCCUGUAACCGUGACGAGGAAAAUAGAGUAAAAGGAUGACAAUAUUAUUAAGAGCUGCCACGUUGUCGUCCCCAGAUGUAUGUACUUGUGAUCGCUCCAGUGUGUAGAGCUCUUAUGCUUUGUUUUCAAUAAAAUCUCGAAAAACAAUGAACAUCACAUUUUGUAGAUAUAUAUUCCACAUUUGUAGAUUUCUCUGUAUCAUUAUCUGUAUUUAUAGAUAUCGAUACUUACGGAUACCUAUAUUCACAGAUUCAUCCGUGCAAGUAGUUCGUACCAAUGCGAUUUUAUGAAUAGAGCUUAAGAUAUCGUAGUACUGGAAUUAUGUGCGUCAUCUUCUUUUUGGCUACAUCGACUGCACACUCGAGCCAUCAGUGUUACGUGGACACAUUGCUCCGACCGAACCGGUGGAACAUUCAUGUACAUGUUAUAUUGUACAAGAACAUAUUACACACGUACACACACAACAACCGCGCACGGACGCACGUAUACACAUACGCAAGCAGUACACGCCCAACACACAAAAAAGACCGGGUACAACGCAUUCGUUUGAAGCGGGUACGCGCGAUGCGGAAGAAAAAAAAGAGAAACACAUUUAGAUAGGGGUGUGCCUACAGGCCGAAAAAUAUGUAGGCAACGCCACUUUACCGAAGUAUAAGUGGAAAAGAUGAUAUAAAUAAAAUAAAUCUAUAUAUAUAUAUAUAUAUAUAUAAAUUAUAUAUAUUUAAAUAUAAAUAUGAAAUAUAAAUAUAAAUAUAAAUAUAAUAGUAUUACGAAUUACGAUAAACGUAUAUAAUUAUUUUGUAGUGUCCUGCAUUAUGUAAACUAAAUGUACACAUGAGAGAAAAAAAAAUGUAUGUCAGCGAACGAUGUUGAUUAUAAUGAUAAUGAUGAUGAUAACGACGAUGACGACGAUGACGACGAUGACGGCGAUAAUGAUGGCGAUGAUGGUGACGACGAUUACGAUAAUAACGAUACGAUUGCAAUGACGAACGAUAUGCACGCGAAUGAACUAUGUAUUAUGAGUAAUGACAGCGACGAUGACGAUGGGAAACGAUAAUAGUAUUAUACGCUAUCAUGUCGACGAGUCUAAACCGUAUUGUAUUAUAUUAUAUAAGAGUCUGUCCAUAUUAAUAAUAAUUAUAUUAAUUAUAAUAGCUGUGUUUGAAAUCGAGAAAUAAAUUGUGGUUGAAUAUGAAAAUCAAAGAGAGUGUGAAGCUCGGUUUUGGGCCAAAGACGUGUCAUCCGGGAUAUAUGGUUUUCUCUCCUUCAACUUUCGUUUCUACGUCCGACCGAACUUUAUCGAUCGAGUAUACGUGUUUGAAAGCAGUCACGUGGACGGUUGGUUGGGAUCGUUCGUCCCCGCUUCGCGAGAUUCAUCGUACCUUCGUGUGUGUACCGUCCUUUCUCUCUUUUCCAUUAAUUAACCGAUUGAUAGAACUUCAUCGAUUGUUUUAUUUUAAUGUCAGCAGCGAGUAUAUAAUUACGCUACUGGUUUUAAAGUUCGAGACCAUGUUCAUGAUCAUUGUACCUCGGAAUAUAGCAGACAAAUAGCUAUAAUUACCAUCUGUCAUUUCACAACGCCUUAAUAAUCAUCAUGAGACGUCAUUAAAUUCAUCAGCCGUAUAUCUCGUAACUUAAACGAUACGCCAAAUCACGAUAAGGUGUAGAGACGAAUUCGACGAUCGUAUUAACUAAUGUCCCUGGUUGAAAUUAAAUUGAAAUUAGAACGAUCGGAUAAUCAUCGCCGGAGGGUGGUCUCGAAUUCCGAUGAUUGAUAACUAUACGUAGCUCUAAUUCGUGGCAUGUGACGUAUUCGGGAAGGUGGUGCCGGAACGAUGUUCGAAUUCGGGUCGAUCGGCUGGACGUCUUUCACGGUCGAACGAAAAUAUCGGCGGUUCGCCGCUACGCCACUGGGACCCUUCGAAAAGGUUGCCCGGUAACCCGAAGGUUGCAUUUAUACGAAUUGUGGCGGAAGGAACCAUUGUAUAAUCCAAGAUGGCCUCCACCUCGGAGAGGAUUAUUAUUGGCUAAUACGAGGCAAGAGGCUCCGCCUUGGCUCACGGCUCGUGACGGGAUGAUUUAUUGGGAUUUCUGUCUGUUCGCCCCUGCGCUGCAACGAACAUACCGUGUGCCUAGCUUCUAGGAGGCCGGUACGACUGGAACACCGCGAUAUUGGAUUUCGACAUUUCGCCCAACUGCAGCUGUAACAGCCCGCGGAUUUCUUCUAUACGUCGUAGAGAUGUCUCCAUUCUCGCUUUGUCCACGUGCAAUUCCAUGUGUCUUUGCCUGACCUAAUUUCCCCUUCCUAUUUCAGCGCUGCUUUACCUCAUCGCUCUUUCGUUCGAUCCGCUAAUGAAAUUUUCGAGGAAGAUUGCUUUGCCCCGCUUCUGGAAAUCGUGGAAGCGUUGUUGAUAUUUAAUAUAGGAUGGUGAAAUAAUUUCAUCCAACUGCUACGCGCCAAACCAUGUAUAUACGUAAGUGGAAAUUCGACGGCUCGAUGCAGUCGUUCUUGAGUUAUGAGUGCAAUCGAGAAGUGGGUGAAGAUCAAACAAGCGUGUUGACUAGAACGUCUGUCAGGUCAAUUGACGGUUCGUCUCCCUUCGUUAUUUAUGGUCAAGGACGUUCUGCCGAUAGAAUCGCUCGUAUCAACUCGCUGCUAGGUCGUUAGACUAUCCAGAUCUGCUUGAUAUCCACUGAACAUAAGAAAUCUAUUAGUUUUAAAGAACAGUACUUAAGGGUAAGUAUUCAUUCGCCUAAUUAACUCUGUCAAACAAACAAACGAGAAAUAAAAUAAAGAAAUAAACAGGAUCUUAAAACAUAUAUUCAGCACGUAUAAAAUAUCAACAAUGAAUUGUCAAAGUAAAUUAAACUGAAUAAUUCCCACUUUCACAAUACUGUCUCGCCAACGACUGGAACGCCUCUGAAGAUUAUCAAGGACGUGAAACAGAAUCGUCAUCGAGUGCAUCCAGGUUGCAAGGUGGAAAGGUGGGGGCGAAGAAGAAGGAAGAUGGAAAGGGAAGGAAAGAAAGAGAUAGACAGAUAGACGGACGAAGAAGGGAGAAGUGCGAGGCGGUGGAGUGAAGAGCCGGCAAGAUAGAGGGGCUUGGCGGGAGGAUGGCGGUCAGAAUUUAUGGCCGCUUUAUCACUUUACCGGCCUUGCCGCGUCUCCUUUAGCCGCGAGGAGGGCAGGAUCUCACGAUGAACUUUGGCACUCGACUCCGCCGCACUCGACGAACGGUGAGCCCCUCUAACUUUCUUGUUUACUCGCGUUUCGCCGAAGAGAGAUUACGCGUACACCUGUUUCCUCUUUCAUCCUUUCCCGGAAUCCUACAACCGAAUCAGACACCGUUUGGGAAUGGAAAUUGCCUGCUGAUGAUUACACCGAGUUUUAAACCGAGUCAUCGAGGGUUCACGAACUGUGUGAGGAGCCGUUUCAUAAAUUUGAUCUAUCUUUUAUUUAUCUUACCCUAAUUGGAGAAUAUUUCGAUCGUCGACAUGUAAAACACUCAGACAUUCCCACGAGGAUUACAAUUACCGCUAUUGAGGAAAAAUCUGCAAGAAGCGGGUUCGGCGCACAGAUCAGACCGUUCCACGUGUCACCCCUGGCGCAGGAAAAAAACCGCGCGCGGCAGGCGUCGCGAAAUUUACGCGAGGCCGUCCAGGCGUCGUGACGCGCGUACGACUGCAUAACGCAUAAAGUAACCCCCAUUAACAGACCAUAAAUUCAAUCCCUGCGGCACCGUUGUUAUGUAUGAGCGUCGUUAGUGUUAAUAGAGUGUUAAUUGCUCCUAUACCGCUCUCGAUUCUGUUCAGGACGUAGGUGACGGAGCCGCUGAUGGUGGUAGAAGGCGAGACGGACGAGCGGUGAGAAAGAGAGACGAGGAGAGAGAAUGCCAUGGAGAGAGACCGUAGAGGAUUCUCGGUUGCGUGUUGUCCAGCUACUACUAGCGCCGUGCUUCUGCUGUUUUGCAUAGGGAAUGCAUCAAUUUUCGGCGCUUCUCGUUCACAGAUCCCUCUCUUCCUUUUACUCUCUUUCUCUCUUUACCGCCCUUCUUGCCCCUAUCUUCGUACUCUCUGCCCCUAGCCGAGCGCAGCUUAACUUCCGGCACGCACAACUUCCACCGUUACCCCCACCAGCAUAGUGUUUCCCGUAACUGUAAUUCGUAUCGAAGAUAAUUGAUAUCCCUGUUGGUCGCAUCCCUCCAUCAGCGUACGUGAUAGCCACUUUCGUGACGUUUGUAGUAGCGAUGAUCGUUUGCGAUUUUCUUGUUGCCCUCCGAUGGGACUUUGUCGCCGAUUUACGGUUGCUUAUAUCGAUUCUGGUAAUUCCGAUCGUCGUCGAGGAUAUAGCGCUUGACUGACUAUAAAUGAAGUUUUCAGUACACGUGUCUAUAUAGCGGAUAAGUGGAAUGUAAAGUUGUUCGUUAGAUUUCAUUAUUCUUUGGGCUUACAUAGUAGAUAUCUUUAGUUACAGCGUUUUCCUUUAUCUUUCCUCAUUGAUCUAAUUAUAUAACUGCGAUUAUACAAGCCUUUUUAUAGUUUCUUCUUUAAUAUUGUACUUUAGAAUUGAUGGUUCAGUUAAUGGCUCUUAAAAAAGAAGAAUUUCUAUACUUAUAAGAUUAGUACAAAUUAGCACAAAUUUAGUAAUUUAAUUAUUUGAAUAGAAAAUACAUUCCUCCUGAAUAAGCCCAUUGACAAUUCGUCCUUAACUUUCCCACCUUAAUUGUCUGACCAAGCUAUACCAAUAGUUAAGCUAUACCUACUAAUUAUGUUCAUCUUUAGGUUUGUAAAAUGGAUUCUUGAUAUUCCUAUUAGAAUAAAUGUUCCCAAUUGGAAUAUUUUUAAGCAAGUGUAGAAUGAAACAGGAGUAUCGUUAAAGUAAAAGUUGUACUUGGCGGAAUGAGAUAAGCGCGUGUGAUAGGUGGAAAUAUUCAAAGUGGAAGGCUGAGUGUGAGGAAAACGGUGGCACUUGCCUCGGAUCAUUCGGCACCGGUGUGGAGGAGCUAGAAUACAUAACGUAGAACGGGACAUAAAUCAAUAAUAUCGCCGCUCCCUCUCCUUCCUUUCCUACCCCGGGACACGGCGGUGCUCCCCCGAGCAGCGUCUCUCCUCUGCAAACCGCCGACCGACGCCGGCGUCUCUCUCGCAAUCAAUGUUCGCGUCUAAAGCGUCACAAACAAUAUAUGACCUCCGGCUUUCGACGAUUAAUACGUCCUGUCGCAUGCGUGCAAAAGUAUUUCCACGACUUAAUUAACGAAUCAAUCGACGCGCGCGUCCACCAGACUGGUGCACGCCGCGAGAAUUAUAUUUCCAACGAGCACAAAGCUUCCGCUUCUUCUAUGUUUAUUCGAUCAGCUUUCAUUUUCUACACGAUCCUCUCUCUUUAAUGCAAUAUCCUUUGUUGAUUAGUUUAAGGUUAUCUGAAUUGGAUCUUUUAGCCCUUUAUCCUGUUUUCAAGUAAUUCUACAUUUAAUAAAAUUUAAU
rnacentral:lncRNA from 1 species